rnacentral:miRNA from 1 species
UGUAGAACAAGGAUUUUGAU